rnacentral:rRNA from 1 species
UACGAAGGGGGCUAGCGUUGCUCGGAUUGACUGGGCGUAAAGGGCGCGUAGGCGGUUCGUACAGUCAGACGUGAAAUUCCUGGGCUCAACCUGGGGGCUGCGUUUGAUACGUGCGGACUUGAGUGCGGAAGAGGGUCGUGGAAUUCCCAGUGUAGAGUUGAAAUUCGUAGAUAUUGGGAAGAACACCGGUGGCGAAGGCGGCGACCUGGUCCGAUACUGACGCUGAGGCGCGAAAGCGUGGGGAGCAAACAGG